GGGAAAAAAGAAGCGGUGAAUACUUGCACGCGCCCGGGUAGCGCAGGCUGUCACAGGCAUGGGAUAGUAGUCUUCAAAAAGUAGAAACGGAACAAAAAGAAGUUGCCUGUGUUGCCUUGCGGACCGACGAGCGAUGGGCAUGGUGUGGCGUCUGCAGGGAACGAUCGUCCAGUAAUUCCAAGUCUCAACACGUUGGAAAGUAAUUUCCUCUGUAGGCCGAAUCACGGAACGAACGAUUCGGCGAUGUUCUCCUCGCUGGCAGCGGAUAUCUCACUUAGCACCGUGAGCCACUGCAAUGGGUGUUGAAUAAGUGUUCAUGAGGGACACUCCUAAAGAUGUAUCCAGACGACGGACCACAUCCCUGUUUUGGCCCGCGGACCAGGCGUCACGUGGGGUCUAGCUUCCGGUCUACGAGGUCCGCGCAAAGGCGGCGGCCCGGCCCGCGCGAGAAAAGCCUGGGAAUUUUUUCUGGCGGAGGCCCAGGGACUUUUUAGCGCAUUCGCACACACAAACGCUGGCAACUACACCGCACUGGCCUUUUCGGCAGUCUAAUCACCACCGUCAUCAUACUGCGGGCGAAACGACGCAGCAGAAGGGGUCGUGUGUGUCACCAUGUCAACGUGGUCGGACGACGCAACGUUUUACUUCUUAGCCUUAGUGAAACAGUUCCCGACGUUGUCGGACAGCAACGGGGACGAUUACCACCGAUGCCCGAAAAAGGGAUUGUGGCCAAAUACUUGCAAGCAGAUGUCGCAGAGGCAUCCAGAGCAUGGCCACACUAUAGUGCCUUCUAGGCACUGUAGCCAUACAACGUGGAAAUGCUGAAAACAGCUUUCGCCAACAAGCGGCGGACGUGCCGCAAAGAGAAAAAGAAAAUGGAGGACCGCAAGAGCGGACAAGCCCAAGAAGAUGGUACAACACCAAAUGGAAAUUAUUUAGAUGCAUGAAGUUCUCGGGCGCCGUGCAACUCCCGACGCACCGUCACGCCACGGAAGCGUGUGUGGGAGACGACGACACCCCUGCAGACUCAAGUUCAAGCACACCCGAGGCUGAUGAAGCACUGUUGCUUGGUGAGCAAAGCAGCAUAGAUAACUUUGCGCCGGACUACAGUGGCGGGAUGUCUCGCCCACCACCUGCAAAACGACUUCGGCCCGGCCGAACAGCUGUUGCUGAAAGAUAAACUGCCCUGGAGAUAUUGGCUCAGGCUGUACAGAGGCUAGUUGUGCCUGAUGAGCCAGCGUUGCAUUUUGGAAAUUAUGAUUGCAGCCUGAUGAGAAAAAUUGGCCCUUCGAUGCAGAUCAAGUGCCAAAAAGAAAUUA